AGAUUCUCAAAUUUUUAGGGCUAGCGCAAUACCACAGUUUUGGCUAUUCUUCAUGUUCUCUAGGGCAGUUAUUUUGCACCAGUGACAGAAACAGUGACCAAAUAAUUCAUUACCUUAUCUACAUGUGAAGGAAGAUUUUUGGCCUGCACUUUCACAGCUGAUAUUAUAAAAAUCAGCUUAUGACAUUAACAUGUUUCAAGCGUUUUAAUUUACUUUUAUUUGUGAAGUUUAUCUAUCACAUGUGGAGACAUACGCACAUACGAAACGGCAAAAAGACGCUAAAAUCUGGGUUAAGAGAAAAAAACUACCUGCGCCAAUCAGUUUUUGCCAUUUAUGGGCUUUACCCUAUAAAAGAAAACCGUUUUAUGCAUUUAAAUGACCUUACACGUUAUCAGUUUAUUAAGCGUUUAGACUAUGUAGACACAAUGUGCACUAAGAUAAAAAAAUUGGUUAACACGACCACUCGUGGUGGCUUCACUCAGAGGUUGGAGAAGACAACCGGUGGACUAAACAUCAAGCCUCUGCACGAUUCAGAAUUAAGACAACCUUAGCAGGAGAGCCCCAGCAGUAACUUUCUCUCAAGCAGAUGAGCAAUAAGUUGCUUUGUAUGAACACCACCCUAACAAUCAAGUUUUCUACAGUAGCCUGUUAACAGUAGACCAAAGGUAUGAUGAUCAAUUAUAAAUGCAAUAUGGUUGAAAGGUCAGUAAACAAACAACAAAAAGGUAAUUUCUUAAUAGAAUGUCUGUACAUUUUUUGCUUUUGUUACAUAUUUCAUACAUCAAAAUCCUUAAACGUUAAUAAUUAUGUAUUCCAACUUGUUGCAGCUUGACAAAAAUGUAGCUUGAAGGAGAAGGGACAGCUGAGAAACAAAGUCCUGGUACGCAGACGACGAUACUAUUACACUGACAAGAGUGUAAUGAUGAUGGAGACACAAAGGGUGGACCAAACACCAGGCCAGAAUUCUGCACGAGUCAGAUCCAGUGGGUGCAGAUCAUCAUACAGAUGGUUCAAGUGUGGAUCCACCUAAUAUUCAAGAUUUUCUGUCCUGGGACCCUCGGCUAACCAUCAAGAAAGAACACACUCCAGUGGGCAUCCUUUAUCCAUCCAGACCCUCAUACAGAUGGUUGGAGUUUUGAUUCUCCUAAAGUACCAUGCAAGAGCACUCAUUUUCCCUCUUGAGACCAUGGUGUGACCUGCAAGGUCGAAUGGAGACUGUAAACGAGACAAUCUUGGAGUCACCUGCAUUCACUGGUCCAGUUGUUAGUCCAAUUACAGAUGGAGAUUAUAGAAGAGGAUGAUGUCUUUUCUCCAACAUCUUUCUAGACUGAUAAAAGAUCUAGACAGGCUUGAACAAAAGUUAACAGAGGGGCUUAUAUAGAGAAUGGUGAGCAGCUACACAUAAAAGAAGAACAUGGAGAAUCUGCCCAGAGGUGUUAACCAGCAAUGCAGCUAUACAACUAAAUUGAUGCAGGCGGAAACAAUGUGUAAUGCAGCUGCUGCAGAAGAAGAAUCCGUCCGUCUACCACUGAAGGAGACGCGGAAAUUCCUUCCAAGAUGUUCUUUGCCCGAGGAAGCAUUUGAUUAAUUUAAAGAUAUUGUGUUUCUUUGUAUGUUAUAGAAAAACGUUGCUUUUUUUGCAUACACUCGUGUAAAUAUGCAUGUUAUGAAUGUUUUUCUUUUGUCUAAUUUAAAUAAAUUUUACGCAAUCAA